GAUGCCAGGGUCCCAAGGUCAUGCUUUUCAUGCUUGCAUGAAAAAGCAUGACCUUGGGACCCGUAAAACAUGAGAAAGCAGCCCGAAUGGGCGGAUUUCGAAUGUUUUAGGAUUGCGGGAGCAUGAAAUGCGGAGCAAUCCGUGGCAUC
rnacentral:sRNA from 1 species